rnacentral:rRNA from 1 species
AACGAACGCUGGCGGCAGGCUUAACACAUGCAAGUCGAGCGCCCCGCAAGGGGAGCGGCAGCCGGGUGAGUAACGCGUGGGAACUUACCUUUUGGUUCGUAACAACUCCGUGAAACUGGAGCUAAUACCGGAUAAGCCCUAACGGGGAAAGAUUUAUCGCCGAAAGAUCGGCCCGCGUCUGAUUAGCUAGUUGGUGAGGUAACGGCUCACCAAGGCGACGAUCAGUAGCUGGUCUGAGAGGAUGAUCAGCCACACUGGGACUGAGACACGGCCCAGACUCCUACGGGAGGCAGCAGUGGGGAAUAUUGGACAAUGGGCGCAAGCCUGAUCCAGCCAUGCCGCGUGAGUGAUGAAGGCCUUAGGGUUGUAAAGCUCUUUUGUCCGGGAAGAUAAUGACUGUACCGGAAGAAUAAGCCCCGGCUAACUUCGUG